AAAAAAUCCAAAGGUUUUAUGACCUGCGUCCAGAGGUCCGGUAAGGAAUUUGAGGCCCAAACAAAUGAAUAAUGCAGGGCAGUUUUUAUACCUUCUAGACAGAGCAAAUGCAUUCGUGAGGAAUGGACAGGAUUAAAAACACACAUUUGAGAGCUUUAAUUAGUAAGGACUUUUAAGAGGAAUUUGGCCUGAGGUAGUACAUUAGUGAAAUUAACCAGGAUUGUUUCUAUAGCUUUCUUGGCUUUAAAGUUCCUAUUUCUGGUGAUAAUGAUGUGUUUUUACUUAGUCCAGUGAGGGGUUCCUUUUAUAUGGUAGUUUUAUUUCCACAUUUUGAGGGGACCGAGGAGAGUCUAAGUGUCCUUGCAUGUGCUUUUUCCCACGUAGCUUCAAUUCAAAAUAAUACACCAUCGUAUAUUUUGGACAACUUGCCCUUGGCCCUCUUGUUAGCUAGUGAAUGUAGGGUAUGAGAGAAUUAGAACACUCUCGGAUAAUCCCAAUGAUUUUAGCCACUGCAUCGAAGAUGGUAAUGCCAGUCACUAAAAUGGAUAAGAAUAUAGAAGGAACAAGUUUUGGGGAGAAUCACAGGUUCAGCUUUGGACAUGCAGAAUUUGGGAUACCUAUUACAUUUCUAAGAGGGAGGUAGGAACUAGGUUAGCUAGAUAUAUGAAUCUGCAGUUCAGGGAAGAGAUCUGGGCUGGAAACAUUAUUGGGAGUUGUCAGGGUAUAACUGCCCUGAUGCCACGAGAGUGAAAAAGCCAUGCGAGAAGAUGAGAUCUCUUAGGAAAGAGGGUUGGUAAUGAAGAGAAGCAGUUCAAGAACCGAGUCCUAGGUCAGAUAAGUAAGGAGUGUUUGCUCUGUAUUCAUGAUAUGUGGAUAGAUCACUGAUGGUUUUACACGUGUUUCUGUAAUUCUCCCUUUCUCCUGUGACUCUCAGAACAAGCAGAAGAAAAUAGUCUCAUUUUACAGAUGUGGAAAGCUGCCCUCAGUCAUAAGAGUGUGCAAUGACAGUGGAGCUCUCACUCAAAUAAUCUGUUGAAGUUAGAACCACGGGAGAUCACUUUGGGGAUCCACCAAUAGAUAAUAGGCACCCUUCUCAAAAUGGACAACUUCCCCGUAUAUUUUGCAUGCAAUUCCAGUGAGUUCUCAGGCCUCCCAAAGCCUGUUUGUGGAGGCCAACGUUCAGAGCUCUGUGUCUGAAGCUGCUUUUCUCUUCCCUUACGUUCACCAGCUCCUGAUCUGAGAAAGUGGACCCUGAGAACACACGUUUCUGAUCUGUUGAGCUGGUGUUCCCCUGUUAGUGUGGAGAUGCCGUCGAUACAAUAAUGUAGAAGAAGUUAAGUCAUCAGCCCAGAGACUUCCCUUGAACUCCACACUCAGAGACCCGGCUACCCACUUGACUUCUCUAUUUGGAAGUCCAUGAAUAUCCAUUUCCAAAUCCGACACCAUCACUGCAAGACCAGCCUCUCUCGUCAACAUCUUGAAUUUGGAAAACGGCGAGUCCAACCUUUCAGCUGGAGUU
rnacentral:lncRNA from 1 species